ACGGAGCACCCCUGAAAGAGUUUUCGGACAAUGGAAGGGAAUGCUUAGUGGCGGACUGGUGAGUAACGCGUGAGGAACCUGCCUUCCAGAGGGGGACAACAGUUGGAAACGACUGCUAAUACCGCAUGAUGUGUUUCGAUGGCAUCAUCGAGACACCAAAGAUUUAUCGCUGGAAGAUGGCCUCGCGUCUGAUUAGCUAGUAGGCGGGGUAACGGCCCACCUAGGCGACGAUCAGUAGCCGGACUGAGAGGUUGACCGGCCACAUUGGGACUGAGAUACGGCCCAGACUCCUACGGGAGGCAGCAGUGGGGAAUAUUGGGCAAUGGGCGCAAGCCUGACCCAGCAACGCCGCGUGAAGGAAGAAGGCUUUCGGGUUGUAAACUUCUUUUAAGAGGGAAGAGCAGAAGACGGUACCUCUUGAAUAAGCCACGGCUAACUACGUGCCAGCAGCCGCGGUAAUACGUAGGUGGCAAGCGUUGUCCGGAUUUACUGGGUGUAAAGGGCGUGCAGCCGGGAAGACAAGUCAGAUGUGAAAUCCCGCGGCUCAACCGCGGAACUGCAUUUGAAACUGUUUUUCUUGAGUACCGGAGAGGUCAUCGGAAUUCCUUGUGUAGCGGUGAAAGGAGAACCCCUUAAGAAAAAAANNAGNGGNGAAGGAGGAGGANNGGAAGGCAANNGANGGUGAGGCGAGAAAAGAAGGGGACCCUCUAGGGUUANNNNNNNAUAUACCANACAAAAAAGGACGUCAGNUAGUGCGGGGACUGACCCCCUGCGUGCCGCAGUUAACACAAUAAGUAUUGCACCUGGGGAGUACGAUCGCAAGGUUGAAACUCAAAGGAAUUGACGGGGGCCCGCACAAGCGGUGGAUUAUGUGGUUUAAUUCGAAGCAACGCGAAGAACCUUACCAGGGCUUGACAUGGGGGCGGUCGGUGUAGAGAUAUACCUUCCUCUUCGGAGGCGCCCCACACAGGUGGUGCAUGGUUGUCGUCAGCUCGUGUCGUGAGAUGUUGGGUUAAGUCCCGCAACGAGCGCAACCCCUAUUGUUAGUUGCUACGCAAGAGCACUCUAGCGAGACUGCCGUUGACAAAACGGAGGAAGGUGGGGACGACGUCAAAUCAUCAUGCCCCUUAUGUCCUGGGCUACACACGUAAUACAAUGGCGGUCAACAGAGGGAUGCAAAGCCGCGAGGCAGAGCGAACCCCUAAAAGCCGUCCCAGUUCGGAUCGCAGGCUGCAACCCGCCUGCGUGAAGUCGGAAUCGCUAGUAAUCGCGGAUCA
rnacentral:rRNA from 1 species